CCCAUUUUGCUUUCCGUAAUGGUCAACAUAUUCUAACAUUAUUGGCAAUCCCUAAUUUGUUAAUUAUGAAGCUAAAUGGAAUGCCUUCUAAGAGUUUCUUGCGUGAGGAAGAUAAUGAACACCAACACGCCAUGUUUUUUCUUUUUCAAGGAUGAACUCAAAUCGUGUUUGAAAUAAUGAACCUAUUUAUGAUUCAUUUGAUAUGAUCC
rnacentral:lncRNA from 1 species